GAUGAAGAACGUAGCGAAAUGCGACAAGUAAUGUGAAUUGCAGAAUUCAGUGAAUCAUCGAAUCUUUGAACGCACAUUGCGCCCGCCAGUAUUCUGGCGGGCAUGCCUGUCCGAGCGUCAUUUCAACCCUCGAACCCCUCCGGGGGGUCGGCGUUGGGGAUCGGGAACCCCUAAGACGGGAUCCCGGCCCCGAAAUACAGUGGCGGUCUCGCCGCAGCCUCUCCUGCGCAGUAGUUUGCACAACUCGCACCGGGAGCGCGGCGCGUCCACGUCCGUAAAACACCCAACUUCUGAAAUGUUGACCUCGGAUCAGGUAGGAAUACCCGCUGAACUUAAGCAUAUCAAUAAGCGGAGGA
rnacentral:misc_RNA from 1 species